rnacentral:rRNA from 1 species
GUUCCGGUGCAAUGUGCUCAGGCAUCGUAACAGAGGUUUGAUUCUGGCUCAGAUUGAACGCUGGCGGGAUGCUUUACACAUGCAAGUCCGAACGGCAGCACGGACUUCGGUCUGGUGGCGAGUGGUGAACAGGUGAGUAAUGUAUCGGAACGUGCCUAGUAGCGGGGGAUAACUACGCGAAAGCGUAGCUAAUACCACAUACGCCCUUCGGGGGAAAGCGGGGACAGCCGGUCGCACUAUGAAACAACCGAUAUCGGAUUAGCUAGUUGAUGGGGUAACGGCUCACCAAGGCGACGAUCGUAGCUGGUUUGAAGGACGACCAGCCACACUGGGACUGAGACACGGCCCAGACUCCUACGGGAGGCAGCAGUGGGAAUUUUGGACAAUGGGGGAAACCUGAUCCAGCCAUCCCGCGUGUGCGAUGAAGGCCUUCGGGUUGUAAGCACUUUUUUGGCAGGAAAAGAAACGGCACGGGAUAAUACCCCGUGCAACUGACGGUACCUGCAGAAUAAGCACCGGCUAACUACGUGCCCAGCAGCCGCGGUAAUACGUAGGGUGCAAGCGUUAAUCGGAAUUACUGGGCGUAAAGCGUGCAGGCGGUUCCGGAAAGAAAGAUGUAAAUCCCAGGCUUAACUUUGGAACUGCAUUUUUAACUACCGAGCUAGAGUGUGUCAGAGGAGGUGGAAUUCCACGCGUGCCAGCAGUGAAAUGCGUAAGUCUGCGGAGGAACACCAAUGGCGAAGGCAGCCUCCUGGAAUAACACUGACGCUCAUGCAGCGUGGGAGCAAACAGGAUUAGAUACCCUGGUAGUCCACGCCCUAAACGAUGUCAACUAGCUGUUGGGGCCUUCGGGCCUUGGCGGCCUGGCUAACGCGUGAAGUUGACCGCCUGAGAAAUACAAUCGCAAAUUAAAACUCCGAGGAAUUGACGGGGACCCACAAGCGGUGGAUGAUGUGGAUUAAUUCGAUGCAACGCGAAAAACCUUACCUACCCUUGACAUGUCUGGAAUCCGAAGAGAUUUGGAGUAUCGCAAGAGAACCGGAACACAGGUGCUGCAUGGCUGUCGUCAGCUCGUGUCGUGAGAUGUUGGGUUAAGUCCCGCAACGAGCGCAACCCUUGUCAUUAGUUGCUACGAAAGGGCACUCUAAUGAGACCCGCCGGUGACAAACCGGAGGAAGGUGGGGAUGACGUCAAGUCCUCAUGGCCCUUAUAGCUGGGGCUUCACGUCAUACAAUGGUCGGGACAGAGGGUCGCCAACCCGCGAGGAGCCAAUCCCAGAAACCCGAUCGUAGUCCGGAUCCUGAUCUACAACUCGACUGCGUGAAGUCGGAAUCGCUGAUAAUCGCGGAUCAACUAUCUGUCGCGGUGAAUACGUUCCCGGGUCUUGUACACACCGCCCGUCACACACCAUGGGAGUGGGUUUACCAGAAGUAGUUAGCCUAACCGUAAGGAGGGCGAUUACCACGGUAGGAUUCAUGACUGGGGUGAAGUCGUAACAAGGUAG